UCCGUUAUGGUCUAGUGGCUAGGAUUUGUCGCUCUCAUCCUCUGGGAGACCCGACAAGGCCGGGGUUCAAUUCCCCGUGACGGAA